GUGUCAGCCGCCGCGGUAAUACGGAGGGUGCAAGCGUUGUUCGGAAUUAUUGGGCGUAAAGCGCGUGUAGGCGGUCUGUUAAGUCUGAUGUGAAAGCCCGGGGCUCAACCCCGGAAGUGCAUUGGAAACUGGCCGACUUGAGUACGGGAGAGGGUAGUGGAAUUUCGAGUGUAGGGGUGAAAUCCGUAGAUAUUCGAAGGAACACCGGUGGCGAAGGCAGCCCCCUGGGUCGAUACUGACGCUCAUGCACGAAAGCGUGGGGAGCAAACAGGAUUAGAUACCCUGGUAGUCCACGCCCUAA
rnacentral:rRNA from 1 species